rnacentral:rRNA from 1 species
AGCCUUUAGAGAGGAUUAAAGGUUAUACCUGCCCAAUGUUAUAUUAAUGGCCGCGGUACUUUGACCGUGCUAAGGUAGCACAAUCAAUUGGCCCUUAAUUAGGGUCAGGCAUGAAUGGAGUUACGGGGCUUAGCUGUCUCUAAACUAUUUAAUUGAAGUUGCUGUAUAGGUGAAAAAGCCUAUAUUAAGAAAAAAGACGAGAAGACCCUUAGAGUUUUACUUAAAAAAGAGUGUUAUUUCUUUACUAGUUUUGUUGGGGCAAUAUAGGAGAAGAAUUAAACCUCCUAAAAGAUAUAAACCGAUGUUUUUAAAUAUGGGCAAACUACCUUAGGGAUAACAGCAUAAUUUUAAAAGUAAGUUUGUGACCUCGAUGUUGGACUAGGGAACUUAAGGGCUAGCCGCCUUUUGGUAAGGUUCUGUUCGAACUAUAAUUCCU